GAUGAACGCUGGCGGCGUGCCUAAUACAUGCAAGUCGAGCGAACGGACGAGAAGCUUGCUUCUCUGAUGUUAGCGGCGGACGGGUGAGUAACACGUGGAUAACCUACCUAUAAGACUGGGAUAACUUCGGGAAACCGUAGCUAAUACCGGAUAAUAUUUUGAACCGCAUGGUUCAAAAGUGAAAGACGGUCUUGCUGUCACUUAUAGAUGGAUCCGCGCUGCAUUAGCUAGUUGGUAAGGUAACGGCUUACCAAGGCAACGAUGCAUAGCCGACCUGAGAGGGUGAUCGGCCACACUGGAACUGAGACACGGUCCAGACUCCUACGGGAGGCAGCAGUAGGGAAUCUUCCGCAAUGGGCGGAAGCCUGACGGAGCAACGCCGCGUGAGUGAUGAAGGUCUUCGGAUCGUAAAACUCUGUUAUUAGGGAAGAACAUAUGUGUAAGUAACUGUGCACAUCUUGACGGUACCUAAUCAGAAAGCCACGGCUAACUACGUGCCAGCAGCCGCGGUAAUACGUAGGUGGCAAGCGUUAUCCGGAAUUAUAGGGCGUAAAGCGCGCGUAGGCGGUUUUUUAAGUCUGAUGUGAAAGCCCACGGCUCAACCGUGGAGGGUCAUUGGAAACUGGAAAACUUGAGUGCAGAAGAGGAAAGUGGAAUUCCAUGUGUAGCGGUGAAAUGCGCAGAGAUAUGGAGGAACACCAGUGGCGAAGGCGACUUUCUGGUCUGUAACUGACGCUGAUGUGCGAAAGCGUGGGGAUCAAACAGGAUUAGAUACCCUGGUAGUCCACGCCGUAAACGAUGAGUGCUAAGUGUUAGGGGGUUUCCGCCCCUUAGUGCUGCAGCUAACGCAUUAAGCACUCCGCCUGGGGAGUACGACCGCAAGGUUGAAACUCAAAGGAAUUGACGGGGACCCGCACAAGCGGUGGAGCAUGUGGUUUAAUUCGAAGCAACGCGAAGAACCUUACCAAAUCUUGACAUCCUUUGACAACUCUAGAGAUAGAGCCUUCCCCUUCGGGGGACAAAGUGACAGGUGGUGCAUGGUUGUCGUCAGCUCGUGUCGUGAGAUGUUGGGUUAAGUCCCGCAACGAGCGCAACCCUUAAGCUUAGUUGCCAUCAUUAAGUUGGGCACUCUAAGUUGACUGCCGGUGACAAACCGGAGGAAGGUGGGGAUGACGUCAAAUCAUCAUGCCCCUUAUGAUUUGGGCUACACACGUGCUACAAUGGACAAUACAAAGGGCAGCGAAACCGCGAGGUCAAGCAAAUCCCAUAAAGUUGUUCUCAGUUCGGAUUGUAGUCUGCAACUCGACUACAUGAAGCUGGAAUCGCUAGUAAUCGUAGAUCAGCAUGCUACGGUGAAUACGUUCCCGGGUCU
rnacentral:rRNA from 1 species